rnacentral:rRNA from 1 species
GUAUGGCUGUUCGCCAUUUAAAGUGGUACGCGAGCUGGGUUUAGAACGUCGUGAGACAGUUCGGUCCCUAUCUGCCGUGGGCGCUGGAGAACUGAGGGGGGCUGCUCCUAGUACGAGAGGACCGGAGUGGACGCAUCACUGGUGUUCGGGUUGUCAUGCCAAUGGCACUGCCCGGUAGCUAAAUGCGGAAGAGAUAAGUGCUGAAAGCAUCUAAGCACGAAACUUGCCCCGAGAUGAGUUCUCCCUGAGACUUUAGGUCUCCUGAAGGAACGUUGAAGACGACGACGUUGAUAGGCCGGGUGUGUAAGCGCAGCGAUGCGUUGAGCUAACCGGUACUAAUGAACCGUGAGGCUUAACCUUACAACGCCGAAGCUGUU